AUGGGGGCAUAUUGUGGUCCCAGCCCUGCUUCCACCACCUUCUGCCAUGUGACUCGGGCCUAUAUUCCUCCUAGGAGAUGGGGCUCACCAGGCUUCCUUCCGGGCUGUGGGAGAAUCCACCGAGCUGGCAAGCCGAGCUCCAGGGUCAUAAUAGCGGCCGAAUCACUUCUGAGAGGAGCAGAUUGCAAAACUGAAACACAUGCAUUGAAAAAACUGGAACCAACACAGGGCAGGCAAGCCCCAAAGUGGAGCCUGGCCUGCGAGUGUUCCUGGCUUGGCUCAGGAAAUACUUCAAGGACAGCCAGAGGUGGUAGAAAACAGCUUUACUGAAGUGGCAGUGUUACAGCUCCGUGACUGCUCCCGCAGAGCAGGGCUACCCAUGGGCAGUGUUACAGCUCCGUGACUGCUCCCGCAGAGCAGGGCUACCCGUGGGCAGAGAGUAGCGGCCAUAUUUAUACCUACUUUUUUUUUUUUUUUUUCAGCCUGGUGUCACCCAGGCUGGAGUGCGGUGGCGCGAUCUCGGCUCACUGCAACCUCCGCCUCCCGGGUUCAAGCGAUUCUCCUGCCUCAGCCUCCCGAGUAGCUGGGAUUAUAGGCACCCACAACCACGCCCGGCUAAUUUUUGUAUUUUUAGUGGAGAUGGGGGGGGGGUUUCACCAUCUUGGCCAGGCUGAUCUUGAACUCCUGACCUCAUGAUCCACCUCUCAAAGUGUUGGGACUACAGGCCUGAGCCACUGUGCCCCACCUAUACCCACUUUUAAUUGCUAAGAUCUUUGUAAAUAAUAAAAACCUGUACUGAAUGUUGCCUUGUUGAAUCCUACCUCCUUGUGUAAAUGAAUAUUCCUGUUGAAACUUUUUUUUUUUUUUAGAUUGCAAAACUGAAACACAUGCAUUGAAGAAACUGGAACCAACGCAGGGCAGGCGAUUAAGGGAACUGAUUAAGGGGCAGUUCAUGCAGAAACUUCUAGGGAAGGGGUAGUAAUCGUUGGGUCACUGCUGUGAAAAGGGGUGGUAACGUCUGGGUGUUGCCAUGGCAACGGUAAAUCGAUAUAGCCUACCGGUGGGGGUGCCUGAUUGAAAGCUGCUUUGGCCCAGUCUAUUUCAGCCAGUCCUCAAUCUAGUCUUGUGCCCAAGCCCCUCUGGAGUCGAGUCCCGUCUCCUACCUCCGAACCACGUAUAAGUUGAUAAAAUAUAACGUGGAAGGGCUCGCUCUGAACCUCGAAGACUGCUGCUGUUAACUCUGUAACCUCUGCAAAUGCAGAAACAGCUAAAAGGCAAGGAGGCUCGGCUGGGGUGGCUGGGCCGGUCCUGGCCUGCCUCUACUCACCGGCUGUGCGUUCUUGGCAAGUCACAGGAGCGAUUGAGGCCUCACCGGUGUCACCCUUAUGGUAGGGAGGAGAACGGCCCCACCUCACUGCCUUCGUGAAGGUUGAGCGAUCUCGUCGCCUGGCUCGGUGAGGGUGAGUACUCAGGCAGUGCCGCUGGGCCCACAGCUGUGGUUUCAAAGUGAGGGAGAUACUUUGCUGAGCCGACUUCAGUCAUGACUAUUAUUUUUGCAAAGGCCAAAGGAUUCCUGUCAUGAUUCCAAGAGCAAUUUCCACGGCAAAUAAGCCGGGCGUGUUGGGCUUCACAGUUUUGUUUGCUGAAGUCGCCUGAUGUUUUCCGUGCCAUAUAUUUCAAGUUUAUGCUUUCCAGGUUUUUGUUUUAAAUUGUGGUAAAACACCUAACAUAAAAUUUACCAUCUUAACCAUUUGUAAGUGUAUAGUUCAGUGAAAUUAAAUACAUUCAUGAUGUUAUGCAGUGAUCAGCACCAUUUUUCUCGAACUCUGUCCAUCUUCCCAAACUGAAAUCUGUCCCUAUUGAAUAACAACUCCCCAGGCCAGGUGCCGUGGCUCACGCCUGUAAUCCCAGCACUUUGGGAGGCCGAGGCGGGUAGAUCACCUGAGGUCAGGAGUUCGAGACCAGCCUGGCCAACAUGGUGAAACCCCAUCUCUACUAAAAAUACAAAAAUUAGCUGGGCGUGGUGGCACGUGCCUGUAAUCCCAGCUACUCAGGAGGCUGAGGCAGGAGGAAUCACUUGAACCUGGGAGGCAGAGGUUGCAGUGAGCCGAGAUCGCGCCACUGCACUCCAGGCUGGGUGGCACAGCCAGACUCCAUCUCAAAACAAACUAACACCCCGAACAACCCAACAACUCCCCAUCCCCCUCCUAGCCCCUGGUACUCACUAUUCCACUUUCUGCUCUGUGAGUGUGACUGCCCUAGAGGCCUCAUGUCAGUGGGAUCACAGAGCAUGUGUCCUUUGGUGACAGCUUAUUUCUCUUAGCGUAACGUCCUCAAUGUCACGAUGUCCACGCUGUAGCAUGUGUCAGAAUUUUCAUUUUUUUUUUUUUUUGAGGCAGAGUCUCACUUUGUCACCCAGGCUGGAAUGCACUGGCGUGAUCUCAACUCACUUCCAGCUCCACCUUCUGGGUUCACGCCAUUCUCCUGCCUAGCCUCCCGAGUAGCUGGGACUACAGGUGCCCGCUACCACGCCUGGUUAAUUUUUUUUUGUAUUUUUAGUAGAGACGGUGUUUCACUGUGUUAGCCAGGAUGGUCUCGAUCUCCUGACCUUGUGAUCUGCCCGCCUCAGCCUCCCAAAAUGCUGGGAUUACAGGCAUCAGCCACCGCACCCGGCUUUUUUUUUGAGACAGAGUCUCGCUCUGUCACCAGGCUGGAGUGCAGUGGCGCAAUCUCGGCUCACUGCAACCUCCGCCUCCUGGGUUCAAGCAAUUCUCCUGCCUCAGCCUCCUGAGUAGCUGGGAUUACAGGCACACGCCACCAUGCCCGGCUAAUUUUUGUAUUUUUAGUAGAAUCGGGGUUUCACCAUGUUGGUCAGGCUGGUCUCGAACUCCUGACCUCAUGAUCAACCCUCCUCGGCCUCCCAAAGUGCUGGGAUUACAGUCGUGAACCACCUAACCCUGCCUUGCUGCCACCUCUUGGCUAUUGUGAAGAAUCCUGCGAUGUGCACAGGUGUGCACGUUUCUGUGAGACCACCUUUCAAUCGUUUGGAGUUUACAUCCAUCCAGAGUUCUUUUAAAGCACUCUGUGAGGGCCAGGUCUUGUGUUAGGUGUUGAGGGUAAGGAGGUGAGGACGAGGUUCCUCUUCCUAAGAAGCCUUGGUCUGGAGGGAGAGACCCUGGGGUGUGGAGACACCAAUGCAUCCAUCUGCACAGCGCUUUUGACUUCAACGUGCUCUCACCUGUUAUUUAAUCCGUUUUAUAGUGGGGAAACUGAGUCACAAGACGAUGCAAUGCCCUGGCUAAGCUCCCCUGGGCAGUUAGUUAUAAAACUAGUGCCAGAAUUCAGGUCAAUGGAGCCCAACCACGGAAGUAUUCUCAAGUAAGCCCCGCAGGCAGCUGGUUUUUGGACAUUUUUGGCAGAGGCUGCAAAUGCAGGUCACUGACAGCAGCUCAUGCCAGCUCCAGCAGAGAUGGACAGACGCUCAGGUGAUUGGGACAUCCAGGGGUCGGGCUGGCUGUGGGCUCUGCCGGAUCUGGGGCCCGGGGCUGUUUUCUUGCGUCUCUCUCCACCUCCUGGGUCUGCUAUCCCCUCUGCCUUGGCUUCAGUUUGCAAUUCUUCCAUGCAGCGGGGGAAGCUGACUGCCAGCAAGCUGGGU
rnacentral:lncRNA from 1 species